ACGGGAGGCAGCAGUGAGGAAUAUUGGUCAAUGGGCGGAAGCCUGAACCAGCCAAGUCGCGUGAAGGAUGAAGGUAUUAUGUGUUGUAAACUUCUUUAGACGCAGGGAAAUAAGGAGGUCGUGACCUCUGAUGCUAGUAUGCGUAGAAUAAGGAUCGGCUAACUCCGUGCCAGCAGCCGCGGUAAUACGGAGGAUUCGAGCGUUAUCCGGAUUUAUUGGGUUUAAAGGGUGCGCAGGUGGCUUUUUAAGUCAGUGGUUAAAUCGGGAGGCUCAACCUCAUCACGCCAUUGAUACUGGAGAGCUUGAUUGCGGUUGAGGUUGGCGGAAUCCGCCGUGUAGCGGUGAAAUGCAUAGAUAUGGCGAAGAACUCCGAUUGCGUAGGCAGCUGACCAAGCCGUAAAUGACGCUCAUGCACGAAAGUGCGGGGAUCGAACAGGAUUAGAUACCCUGGUA
rnacentral:rRNA from 1 species